rnacentral:rRNA from 2 species
AAUCCAUAGGUUAAUGAGGCGAACCGGGGGAACUGAAACAUCUAAGUACCCCGAGGAAAAGAAAUCAACCGAGAUUCCCCCAGUAGCGGCGAGCGAACGGGGAGGAGCCCAGAGCCUGAAUCAGCAUGUGUGUUAGUGGAAGCGUCUGGAAAGGCGCGCGAUACAGGGUGACAGCCCCGUACACAAAAGCGCAUGUGCUGUGAGCUCGAUGAGUAGGGCGGGACACGUGGUAUCCUGUCUGAAUAUGGGGGGACCAUCCUCCAAGGCUAAAUACUCCUGACUGACCGAUAGUGAACCAGUACCGUGAGGGAAAGGCGAAAAGAACCCCGGCGAGGGGAGUGAAAAAGAACCUGAAACCGUGUACGUACAAGCAGUGGGAGCACCCUUUGGGUGUGACUGCGUACCUUUUGUAUAAUGGGUCAGCGACUUAUAUUCUGUAGCAAGGUUAACCGAAUAGGGGAGCCGGAGGGAAACCGAGUCUUAAUUGGGCGUUAAGUUGCAGGGUAUAGACCCGAAACCCGGUGAUCUAGCCAUGGGCAGGUUGAAGGUUGGGUAACACUAACUGGAGGACCGAACCGACUAAUGUUGAAAAAUUAGCGGAUGACCUGUGGCUGGGGGUGAAAGGCCAAUCAAACCGGGAGAUAGCUGGUUCUCCCCGAAAGCUAUUUAGGUAGCGCCUCGUGAAUUCAUCUCCGGGGGUAGAGCACUGUUUCGGCUAGGGGGCCAUCCCGGCUUACCAACCCGAUGCAAACUGCGAAUACCGGAGAAUGUUAUCACGGGAGACACACGGCGGGUGCUAACGUCCGUCGUGAAGAGGGAAACAACCCAGACCGCCAGCUAAGGUCCCAAAGUCAUGGUUAAGUGGGAAACGAUGUGGGAAGGCCCAGACAGCCAGGAUGUUGGCUUAGAAGCAGCCAUCAUUUAAAGAAAGCGUAAUAGCUCACUGGUCGAGUCGGCCUGCGCGGAAGAUGUAACGGGGCUAAACCAUGCACCGAAGCUGCGGCAGCGACGCUUAUGCGUUGUUGGGUAGGGGAGCGUUCUGUAAGCCUGCGAAGGUGGCCUGUGAGGGUUGCUGGAGGUAUCAGAAGUGCGAAUGCUGACAUAAGUAACGAUAAAGCGGGUGAAAAGCCCGCUCGCCGGAAGACCAAGGGUUCCUGUCCAACGUUAAUCGGGGCAGGGUGAGUCGACCCCUAAGGCGAGGCCGAAAGGCGUAGUCGAUGGGAAACGGGUUAAUAUUCCCGUACUUGGUGUUACUGCGAAGGGGGGACGGAGAAGGCUAUGUUGGCCGGGCGACGGUUGUCCCGGUUUAAGCGUGUAGGCUGGUUUUCCAGGCAAAUCCGGAAAAUCAAGGCUGAGGCGUGAUGACGAGGCACUACGGUGCUGAAGCAACAAAUGCCCUGCUUCCAGGAAAAGCCUCUAAGCAUCAGGUAACAUCAAAUCGUACCCCAAACCGACACAGGUGGUCAGGUAGAGAAUACCAAGGCGCUUGAGAGAACUCGGGUGAAGGAACUAGGCAAAAUGGUGCCGUAACUUCGGGAGAAGGCACGCUGACACGUAGGUGAAGUGAUUUACUCACGGAGCUGAAGUCAGUCGAAGAUACCAGCUGGCUGCAACUGUUUAUUAAAAACACAGCACUGUGCAAACACGAAAGUGGACGUAUACGGUGUGACGCCUGCCCGGUGCCGGAAGGUUAAUUGAUGGGGUCAGCGCAAGCGAAGCUCCUGAUCGAAGCCCCGGUAAACGGCGGCCGUAACUAUAACGGUCCUAAGGUAGCGAAAUUCCUUGUCGGGUAAGUUCCGACCUGCACGAAUGGCGUAAUGAUGGCCAGGCUGUCUCCACCCGAGACUCAGUGAAAUUGAACUCGCUGUGAAGAUGCAGUGUACCCGCGGCAAGACGGAAAGACCCCGUGAACCUUUACUAUAGCUUGACACUGAACAUUGAGCCUUGAUGUGUAGGAUAGGUGGGAGGCUUUGAAGUGUGGACGCCAGUCUGCAUGGAGCCGACCUUGAAAUACCACCCUUUAAUGUUUGAUGUUCUAACGUGGACCCGUUACCCGGGUUGCGGACAGUGUCUGGUGGGUAGUUUGACUGGGGCGGUCUCCUCCUAAAGAGUAACGGAGGAGCACGAAGGUUGGCUAAUCCUGGUCGGACAUCAGGAGGUUAGUGCAAUGGCAUAAGCCAGCUUGACUGCGAGCGUGACGGCGCGAGCAGGUGCGAAAGCAGGUCAUAGUGAUCCGGUGGUUCUGAAUGGAAGGGCCAUCGCUCAACGGAUAAAAGGUACUCCGGGGAUAACAGGCUGAUACCGCCCAAGAGUUCAUAUCGACGGCGGUGUUUGGCACCUCGAUGUCGGCUCAUCACAUCCUGGGGCUGAAGUAGGUCCCAAGGGUAUGGCUGUUCGCCAUUUAAAGUGGUACGCGAGCUGGGUUUAGAACGUCGUGAGACAGUUCGGUCCCUAUCUGCCGUGGGCGCUGGAGAACUGAGGGGGGCUGCUCCUAGUACGAGAGGACCGGAGUGGACGCAUCACUGGUGUUCGGGUUGUCAUGCCAAUGGCACUGCCCGGUAGCUAAAUGCGGAAGAGAUAAGUGCUGAAAGCAUCUAAGCACGAAACUUGCCCCGAG